rnacentral:rRNA from 1 species
AUUGAACGCUGGCGGCAGGCCUAACACAUGCAAGUCGAGCGGAUGAAGGGAGCUUGCUCCUGGAUUCAGCGGCGGACGGGUGAGUAAUGCCUAGGAAUCUGCCUGGUAGUGGGGGAUAACGUCCGGAAACGGGCGCUAAUACCGCAUACGUCCUGAGGGAGAAAGUGGGGGAUCUUCGGACCUCACGCUAUCAGAUGAGCCUAGGUCGGAUUAGCUAGUUGGUGGGGUAAAGGCCUACCAAGGCGACGAUCCGUAACUGGUCUGAGAGGAUGAUCAGUCACACUUGAACUGAGACACGUUCCAGAGUCCUAGGGAAGGCAGCAGUGGGGAAUGUUGGACAAUGGGCGAAAGCCUGAUCCAGCCAUGCCGCGUGUAUGGAGAAGGUCUUCGGAUUGUAAAGCACUUUAAGUUGGGAGGAAGGGCAGUAAGUUAAUACCUUGCUGUUUUGACGUUACCAACAGAAUAAGCACCGGCUAACUUCGUG